GACGAACGCUGGCGGCGUGCUUAACACAUGCAAGUCGAACGGUGAAGCUCCAGCUUGCUGGAGUGGAUCAGUGGCGAACGGGUGAGUAACACGUGAGCAACCUGCCCCUGACUCUGGAAUAAGCGCUGGAAACGGCGUCUAAUACUGGAUACGAGAAGGGUCCGCAUGGGCACUUUCUGGAAAGUUUUUCGGUUGGGGAUGGGCUCGCGGCCUAUCAGCUUGUUGGUGAGGUAAUGGCUCACCAAGGCGACGACGGGUAGCCGGCCUGAGAGGGCGACCGGCCACACUGGGACUGAGACACGGCCCAGACUCCUACGGGAGGCAGCAGUGGGGAAUAUUGCACAAUGGGCGAAAGCCGGAUGCAGCGACGCCGCGUGGGGGAUGACGGCCUUCGGGUUGUAAACCUCUUUCAGCAGGGAAGAAGCGAAAGUGACGGUACCUGCAGAAGAAGCACCGGCUAACUACGU
rnacentral:rRNA from 1 species